UCGCCUUGACAUUUGGCAUCAAGUGCACUUCUUGCUUUUUCAUUUCUUCAACUGUAGAUGGUACUAAACAUAUAAUUUUCUGUGAACCUGACAUGAAUUUAUUGAAACAAAAUCUUUGGACAAACACCGAGUCGAUAUAGUUUCACACUGGCAGCCGACAAUCGAAGUAUAUACGUGUAAUAUAGACCCAACAAAGUGACGAAAAUGAAAUUUGGCUUACAGUUCAUUUUAUCGCUUACCUUGUUGUGGUCAAAAACUCUUUCUCAAAAUGUUUACAUCCCGAUUCAAGAAAAUGAGUUAGCGUACGAGUUUCAUUACGAUAUUAAUGACUUACUUUCGGGCGUUGUAACUCAUCGUUGGGAAAGAAGGUAUGGUAACUACGUAAAAGGAUCAUACAGCUUUUUAGAAUCUAAUGGUAUGAUAAGAAAUGUAUAUUACAUAGUCGAUGGAAAUCAUGGAUAUAGAGCGAUAACGAAAUUUACGAAUCCACAAAAAGAUAUUAUAUAAUAUAUACAUUUCGAGGUUCUACAUUCAUAUAAGAUACAUCAUUGUAUAAUAUAGAUAUGCCAUAAACAGUUAUGGAAGAACGAAAAAAAUUGGAAAUAAUUAUGUGAUAUCAUUCAAUGCAUCUUCUAUCAACAAUCUUCUCAAAUCUCAAGUCUCAACUAAUUAAAAUGUCAAUACAGAAUUACAAAUUAUUUUUAACAAACAUUUUAAAAUUGUAAUU